rnacentral:rRNA from 1 species
CCUACGGGAGGCAGCAGUGGGGAAUUUUGGACAAUGGGCGCAAGCCUGAUCCAGCCAUUCCGCGUGAGUGAAGAAGGCCUUCGGGUUGUAAAGCUCUUUCGCAAGGGAAGAAAACUUAGUCUCUAACAUAGACUGAGGUUGACGGUACCUUGAUAAGAAGCACCGGCUAACUACGUGCCAGCAGCCGCGGUAAUACGUAGGGUGCGAGCGUUAAUCGGAAUUACUGGGCGUAAAGCGUGCGCAGGCUGUUUUGUAAGUCAGAUGUGAAAUCCCUGAGCUCAACUUAGGAACUGCGUUUGAAACUACAAGACUAGAAUAUGUCAGAGGGGGGUAGAAUUCCACGUGUAGCAGUGAAAUGCGUAGAGAUGUGGAGGAAUACCAAUGGCGAAGGCAGCCCCCUGGGAUAAUAUUGACGCUCAUGCACGAAAGCGUGGGGAGCAAACAGGAUUAGAUACCCUGGUAGUCCACGCCCUAAACGAUGUCUACUAGUUGUUGGUGAGUAAAUCCAUGAGUAACGCAGCUAACGCGUGAAGUAGACCGCCUGGGGGAGGUACGGUCGCGAGAGUAAACGUACGAAAGAAGUAGAGCGNGAGAGAGACGACGGACGACGACGAGGGAGGAGG